AUACAGUCGAUGAGUCUCAGCAUAGGACGAAAUGCGCAUCCUGGAU
rnacentral:hammerhead_ribozyme from 1 species